GCAGCAACGUUUAAAGCAGACAGCAAUGUUCCAGCCUGUCUCUCACUGUCCGAUGGUCAUCAUGUUCAGCCUGAAACAAGCUGCUCUGCUCUUCAUUCAGCUCCUCAAUACGGGCUGUGUCUUUGCAGUGCCUGCCAUAACAGAUCACAGAGAUGUUCUGGUAUCAAGAGGAGAUUCAGUUUUAUUCAUCUGCAACAUAUCCAACUUAGACACAACGUUUAUCCUAUGGACCAAAGACAGACCUUAUUUUAUUUACUCAAUCUCCUUUAAUCAAACAUUUUCAAAUUUCUCCUCUAACAGACUGAGAAUAGAAACAAACAUGCCGUCUACUCUUAAUAUUAUUAGUGUUCAGCACAAUGAUGCCGGACUUUAUACAUGCAGCAUAACUAACCAAAAAGGCAUUAACAGUAUAACAUGGAACUUAACAGUACUGGAGAACCUAAGUGAAAUCAGUUUCUCACAGUAUGUUACAUUCACACUACCACCUGCCCUGGGGUUGCUUUUAUGUUGCACUGCAUUAGCUGUCUGCCUCUCUAGGUGAGUUAUAUCUAUUUGACUCCAGAUUUUUAGUAAACA